rnacentral:rRNA from 1 species
AUGUCUCGCUGGCAGUCUGCACCUGCUGAUAUUAUUUGUGAUAUUGGGGACAGUCUUUUGGAUAGUAAUUGCCAUGACAGUUAUGUCGCUAUGAGAUAUGUAUGUUCUCUUUGGAAGUCAGCCAUCUCAUCUUAUCAAAGGCUUUUUCUUCGAGCACAUCGAUGGAUUGUUCUUGAGGAGAUCAAUGAAUUCGGUGAUUGCACUGUACAUCGGGUAUUUGUUAAUCUUUCAACUGGGCGGAUGGUCAAGCGUCGCAUUCCUCUUUUGAAUGACCAUGUUUAUGUUGGAUCUUCGGAUGGACUACUGAUUCUCGUAGAAAAAAAUGAACCUUACUUCGUCAAACUAUGGGAGCCAUUCACGGGAUAUCUUGUGCAAUUUACAGCCGGGAUCAUCCAUCAGCAGCCUUCUCAUUUUGCCGUCGAGACUCGCGGUGUCCCUAGACUGUUUCAUGCCCCUGGAGGUUUACGCAACCCUCGAGUCAUGUGUUAUGAUGUUAAUAAUGGCAAUUUGGAGGUUCGAUUUGGUGAUAUGCCAGUUGAGCGUGUAGCAAGUAUGACUGCAUAUAAGAGUGAUGUGUUUGUACUUUUCCAUAAUCGUCAGUUGUUCAAGAUAACCGGGGAUGGUCAUGAGAUGCAUGGAGAAUUCAUUCUAAUCCACGAGGCUCCAGCACUUGCACCUAGUGCGAUGACACACUAUUUGGUAGUAUCUGGAGGAGGCAAUCUUCUUAUUUUGGUCAUUGGCAUUGCAGAGAUACUGAUUUUUUGUGUUGAUGUUGAGUUGAGGACCGCUGUCCGUAUCUAUAAUAUCGGUAGCCAGGCACUUUUCCUUAGUAACACAAGGUGUAUCUCUGUUAAUGCCGAAAGUUUCCCAACUGUCAGAGAAAAUUGUGUAUAUCAAGCAUGCAUCUCUGGAUAUAGUGGGCCAUGUGGAACUUAUGAGUUCAGUUUGAUGAGGCCUCGGAAGCGUAAGAUUUAUCAUCAAUCAUUCGUCAAUGACGUAACCUACACUCUUGGGGGAAGGCCCUUAAGCAUGUGCCCGGUCCUUAUACACUACUGUUUAUUCAGAAACAAGUGUAGGAGGCCACUAUCCUAG